CCUCUGGUAGUAUAUAUGUUAGUACACGCGCCUGUCAUUCAGGUAGUAGAUUAUCUUGCGUGCGGGUGAAAGCUGGGUUCGACUCCCAGCCAGAGAG